rnacentral:rRNA from 1 species
CCUACGGGAGGCAGCAGUGGGGAAUUGUUCGCAAUGGGCGCAAGCCUGACGACGCAACGCCGCGUGGAGGAUGAAGACCUUCGGGUCGUAAACUCCUUUCGAUCGAGACGAAUGUUUUCCGGGUGAACAAUCCGGAAAAGUGACGGUACCGAGAGAAGAAGCCCCGGCUAACUCUGUGCCAGCAGCCGCGGUAAUACAGGGGGGGCAAGCGUUGUUCGGAAUUACUGGGCGUAAAGGGCUUGUAGGUGGCCAACUAAGUCAGACGUGAAAUCCCUCAGCUUAACUGGGGAACUGCGUCUGAUACUGGAUGGCUUGAGUUUGGGAGAGGGAUGCGGAAUUCCAGGUGUAGCGGUGAAAUGCGUAGAUAUCUGGAGGAACACCGGUGGCGAAGGCGGCAUCCUGGACCAACACUGACACUGAGGAGCGAAAGCCAGGGGAGCAAACGGGAUUAGAUACCCCGGUAGUCCUGGCCCUAAACGAUGAAUGCUUGGUGUGGCGGGUAUCGAUCCCUGCCGUGCCGAAGCUAACGCAUUAAGCAUUCCGCCUGGGGAGUACGGUCGCAAGGCUGAAACUUCAAAUGAAAUUGACGGCUUGGNGNGNGCGACGCGACACGAGGAGGAGG